rnacentral:misc_RNA from 1 species
ACAUAAAACUCGAUACAGUGUAGAAUGUUCUUUUGCGAUCACACGCAAUCAAUACAACUUUCAACAACGGAUCUCUUGGCUCUCGCAUCGAUGAAGAACGCAGAGAAAUGCGAUACGUAAUGUGAAUUGCAGAAUUCCGUGAAUCAUCGAAUCUUUGAACGCACCUUGCGCCCCUUGGCAUUCCGAGGGGCACACCCGUUUGAGUGACAUGAAAUCCUCAAAAACCCUUUUCCUGUCAGGAAUGGGAUUUUUGGACUUGGAGGUUCAAUGCUUGCCUUUCACUUUUGAAAGUGAGCAUUAGUGGGGUCCGCUUUGCUGAUCCUUAACGUGAUAAGAUGCUUCUACGUUUUGGAUCUAGCACUGUCCCUUGGAUGCCUGCUCCUAACUGUCCCACACGGACAAUGAUGGUGCUCUGGUCACCGCCAUCUACAUUGGCGGGAGGCUGGACCCACAAAACGAAAACCUUGACCUCAAAUCGGGUGAGACUACCCGCUGAACUUAAGCAUAUCAAUAAGCGGAGG